AUUGAACGCUGGCGGCAUGCCUUACACAUGCAAGUCGAACGGUAACAGGUCUUCGGAUGCUGACGAGUGGCGAACGGGUGAGUAAUACAUCGGAACGUGCCCGAUCGUGGGGGAUAACGAAGCGAAAGCUUUGCUAAUACCGCAUACGAUCUACGGAUGAAAGCAGGGGACCGCAAGGCCUUGCGCGAACGGAGCGGCCGAUGGCAGAUUAGGUAGUUGGUGGGAUAAAAGCUUACCAAGCCGACGAUCUGUAGCUGGUCUGAGAGAACGACCAGCCCCACUGGGACUGAGACACGGCCCAGACUCCUACGGGAGGCAGCAGUGGGGAAUUUUGGACAAUGGGCGAAAGCCUGAUCCAGCCAUGCCGCGUGCAGGAUGAAGGCCUUCGGGUUGUAAACUGCUUUUGUACGGAACGAAAAGACUCUGGUUAAUACCUGGGGUCCAUGACGGUACCGUAAGAAUAAGCACCGGCUAACUACGUGCCAGCAGCCGCCGCGG
rnacentral:rRNA from 1 species